GGUGGGGAGGUGUGGCUAUGACUUCUGGGAAGGAAAAGUACAUCCUCUGAUUAAGGAUGUAAUUAACUGUUACUCCCAUCUAUUUAGCAUGCCUUUAGGUAGGCUCUUGGACUUGCUCCAUUAACUCGUUUAUUUUGAGUAACUUGGACUGUUAACUUAGAUUCUGAUUUCUUAUCUCCUCCAGAUAUCCUAACAGUCUCUGCUCUAAAGAUGUUGCCCUGACAUCAUUUAGGAGAUAGGAUGAAACCGAGGACUGGGUAAAACCCAUUUCCAUCGUGGAAAGCCAGAGAUCCAAUUCCAAAGCUGUCUACCAGAUGCUCUUAGUGUCUGGACUGGAGUUCUGCUCACGGCCACACGUAGGCAGGCAGGGGUGCUCAUUGGGAGGAGAUAAGGAAAGAGAGCUCCCUUUUAGCACUUGGACAUUCCUGGAAUGGCUGCUUUUUGGGAUCCCUGCCCUAAGCUACCCAUCAAGUUUCUAUGUCCUGUUCUCGUCACUGCAAUCUCACUAUCUAUUUAAACCUCCUAGGUAUACAGAUUCAUAGAUCCUAUUUAUUUCUUAAACCAGCACUGAUUAAACACUGCAUGUCAGGUACAAGUUUCUUAUCUUUAGUCAUAAGAUAGGGAAAUUGAAGCCAACUUUAUUUCCCCCCCACCCAAAUGAAAAAAAUCUUUAUUUGAAAAUAUUCAGGUGCUGUCAGGGUUCUGUUGUAACUAGCUUCUCGAAAACUUUGGUAGUAUUAAAAUUGGGAAAUAUGUUCAUACCUGUUGACUUGGUAACAAUAUUCUUAGACCUCUAUUCUGAGGAAAUAACCCAGUCUUGGGGAUGGUACAGCAUAUCACUACAUUUGAAAGUUAAAUAAGAGUGAUUUUCAGAAAUUCUACUAAAGGGCAAAUGCUACUAAAUAUUAGAAAUAUCAAAUUAGAAUAAAGAAAAGACUGGCCUAACCUAGUAUGAUCCUCAAAGAGACCAAUUCUGUCUAAGUUUGUAGAAGAUACAUUGUGAAAGUUAGCUGCCUUCCUGGCUAUGCUGAGCCUUGACCAAAUUCCUCUUUCCUUUUCCUCAUUUUCUCUCAUUGUGAACACAGGCAGCUUGACCAAGUCCAGUGAGUCCGUUGGUACACAAGAUCUAGGCCUUUUGGCAAGGGGGUAGAGCGCACAGCAACAGUAUCUAGGAGGAAGAGAGAGGCUCCAAAGCAUUUGUAUUCUCUGCCAGUGUGUUCUCUCCCCUCACUCCAUUUGUCUCUACCAUCCCCCAGAAAGUCCCCAUUCAGUGGCUCAGGAUGCUAUGUUGUAUUCAGUCUCAAUAAUGGUGUGUGUGUGUGUGUGUGUGUGUGUGUGUGUGUGUGUGUGUAAAAGUGAAUACAAUUAUUUUUCUCCUGUUAAAUUUUUUAUGCCAGCUCAUCAUUCAACCAAGAACUAGAAGGGACAGACAGUUGAAUAAACUGUCACUGGGCUCAUCCUUUACAGACGAAUUCUACCUUCUUCCUUCAGUUUCUGCAUUUGCAGCUUCCUGUAUGGAGGACACUUACUGUUUAGUAGCAUUUCCUUGAUCAAUUCAGUAGGCCCUUUUCCUCCAUACUUUGCUAUGGGUCAAGUGCCACCUGCUGGCAGUCAACUGUUACGGCCUCUGGUUUUGUUUUUUGUUUUUAAAUGAUAUGCAGCUUAUUUUCAUUUUAUUUUAUUUUAUUUUAGGACCUCUAGCUCUCUUUGUAGCCAAGAAUGCCAUUAAAUUGCUGAUCCUCGCUCUUCUACCUCGAAGUGCUGGGAUUAGAGAUGUAGCACCAUGUCUGGUGUAUGCAAUGUAGAGGGUCAACCCCAGGACUUCCUACAUACUGUGUAAGCUCUCCACCACCUGAGCCCAGCCCCAAGGUUCUAGUGCUGGAAAUUGAACAUAGAGCCUCAUGCAUGCUUGGCAAGUGCUCUAUCACUGAGUUACAUUCUCAACUUGGCAUUUCAUCUUUAUAUGCCCUAAAGUCUAUAUGUACAUAUAAAGUGAUCAGUCUUGACUGGGUGCACUGUAGUAUUUUAUCCAUGCAUUUGGUGAUAUAAUUUACUUUGAUUUCAAUGAGGAAUUUCUACUGAAAUCUCUUUAAAUCUGUACUGAUAUUUUCCUUCACCAAAUGAUCACUGUGACAUUUUAUAAUAUGUAAAGUAUGCCUCCAUAAAUUUCAAGAAAAGAUCAUUUUUAAGGGCUGUUAUUCCCUCUUUCCUUCCAUGUCUCCACUAUCGUACAUGGGUAUAGUUUCCCCAUGGUUUGGAGGAAAGGAAGGCUUUGAGAACUUUAAGAGAGAUUGUGUUCUAUUUUGAAUAAAGCCUGGACAGGUAGAAACACAUGGCUGAGAAGCAAUUUGGAAGUCUCAGAUGGG
rnacentral:lncRNA from 1 species